GGUAUUGGAUAUCAAAAGUCUAAUUAACAUUUGUAAUUCAUUGCAGGGACUUCGGUCAGUAGAAAAUUCAGAGACGACGAAUGGCUCCUAAAUGUUGGAGAAGGAAGUCUUGUUCCAGUUCUAGCUCUAGAAACUAAUGUUGCCCAGAUAUGGAGCCCCAGAGAGGGGGUGAAUUGGGCUUUUCAAAAUUUUUAUGAUUAGUGUACU
rnacentral:lncRNA from 1 species